GACGAACGCUGGCGGCGUGCUUAACACAUGCAAGUCGAACGGAAAGGCCCCUUUGGGGGUACUCGAGUGGCGAACGGGUGAGUAAAACGUGAGUAACCUGCCCUUGACUUCGGGAUAACUUCCGGAAACUGGGGCUCAUACCGGAUAGGAAUCCUUGCUGCAUGGUGGGGGUUGGAAAGCUUCGGCGGUUUUGGAUGGACUCGCGGCUUAUCAGCUUGUUGGUGGGGUAGUGGCUUACCAAGGCUUUGACGGGUAGCCGGCCUGAGAGGGCGACCGGCCACAUUGGGACUGAGAUACGGCCCAGACUCCUACGGGAGGCAGCAGUGGGGAAUAUUGCACAAUGGGCGGAAGCCUGAUGCAGCAACGCCGCGUGCGGGAUGACGGCCUUCGGGUUGUAAACCGCUUUCAGCAGGGGCGAAGCUUGUGGUGACGGUACCUGCAUAAGAAGCACCGGCUAACUACGUG
rnacentral:rRNA from 1 species